UACGAAGGGGGCUAGCGUUGUUCGGAUUUACUGGGCGUAAAGCGCACGUAGGCGGAUUCUUAAGUCAGGGGUGAAAUCCCGAGGCUCAACCUCGGAACUGCCUUUGAUACUGGGGAUCUCGAGUUCGGGAGAGGUGAGUGGAAUUGCGAGUGUAGAGGUGAAAUUCGUAGAUAUUCGCAAGAACACCAGUGGCGAAGGCGGCUCACUGGCCCGAUACUGACGCUGAGGCACGAAAGCGUGGGGAGCAAACAGG
rnacentral:rRNA from 1 species